CUUGCCAUUCAUCCCUUUUUUUCUAAAUUUCUCACACCAUAGCUAUAGAAAUUUUCACUGCUUGAUUUCUUGGGUGUGUUCAGAUAGCAUUGUUGGAGGAGGACUGGAGGAGGCACCUCUAUAAGAAAAAGAAAGAAGUUGAAAUAAAAUUUAAAUACUUGUCCUCUAUUUUUCUUGUACUUAUUAACCACGUUAUAAUCAAAUUCUCCAAUUAUUGUGUUUCCCUCGAUUCUAACAAAUCCCUAAAUAUCAAAACUGAGAUGUGAACAAGGUGGUAAAUGUAACCAAUGGAAAUAUGAAUAAACAACAUCGAAAACACAAAAUUAGGCAGCACAAUUAAGUUAUUAUGUUAAGCUGUAAUGUGGCACAAAAUUUAAAAAAAACGAAAGUAUAAAACCAUAAAACCAUAACAUGGAUAAAAGUGUUCUCCUUGAAUACUGAUAUAAGAUAAUCUUAUAUUGAAUACUGAUAUAAGAUAAUCUUAUACAGCCAAAACCUUCAACCACUUCAUGCAAAAUCAAAAUGUAAUUUACAGAAAUAUCUUAUAUAUACAUAGCAUAUGUAAAAAAAGCUUCGCUUCUAUUUGCAUAACUUACAUAGAACGAGAAGUAGAAAUAGACUUUCGGUGAGAUGAGGAGGAGUCGCCAGCUCCUCCGCCGCCUCCAUUCUCAGCGGCUGAUUUCCUCACCCGCGACGAGGAGCUGGUCAACGAUAUGCUUUUCCUUGAUGACCCUCCUUGACUUGUCAUCUAAUCGAUCAAUAAUCCACCACCUAAACACAUUCAUCCAUUAACAAUCAAUAUUAAUCAAACACAAAAAUCAAAUUAAAAACAUAUCAAUUUCAACAGAAAUAAAAAUCUAACCCGAUGUGAUACACAAAAUCGAAUGGGGAAAACAAAAUUAACGACUUAAAGUGGAUUUUAAUUCUUUCCAGAAAAAAUUGAUUGAUUUAAUUUUGCAUGAAUUUUCUGAGAAGAGGGUCCGAAAAGGAAAAGGGAAAAUGCGGCUCGGAAAUGGGAGGGUGGAGAAUUAUUUGGAAGUGGAUAGUUUGGGUAAGAACGUUUUGUCAAAUGAUUCAGUGGUCCAAAAAUCCUGGAGUUAAAUUUUUAAUUGGCCACCGAACUUUCGUCAUCCAUUAUCCCAUUAGCCGUUGAAG
rnacentral:lncRNA from 1 species